rnacentral:tRNA from 2 species
GGCCCCGUGGCGGAACUGGUAGACGCACGCGACUUAAAAUCGCGAGUCUUCGGACGUGAGGGUUCGAGUCCCUCCGGGGCCACCA